GAGUAAGACACUUAACUCCAGGUUGCUCCGGGGGGAUUGUCCCUGUAAUAAGUGCUCUGUAUAAUACAUUGGUAAUCAGGAGGUUGCUGGUUUGAUCCCCACAGUCACCACCAUUGUGUCCUUGAGUAAGACACUUAACUCCAGGUUGCUCCGGGGGGAUUGUCCCUGUAAUAAGUGCUCUGUAUAAUACAUUGGUACUCAGAAGGUUGCUGGUUCGAUCCCCACAGUCACCACCAUUGUGUCCUUGAGUAAGACACUUAACUCCAGGUUGCUCCGGGGGGAUUGUCCCUGUAAUAAGUGCACUGUAUAAUACAUUGGUACUCAGAAGGUUGCUGGUUUGAUCCCCACAGUCACCACCAUUGUGUCCUUGAGUAAGACACUUAACUCCAGGUUGCUCCGGGGGGAUUGUCCCUGUAAUAAGUGCUCUGUAUAAUACAUUGGUAAUCAGAAGGUUGCUGGUUUGAUCCCCACAGUCACCACCAUUGUGUCCUUGAGUAAGGCACUUAACUCCAGGUUGCUCCGGGG